rnacentral:rRNA from 2 species
UCUACCUAGUAGUACGGAAUAAUUGUUGGAAACGGCAACUAAUACCGUAUACGCCCUACGGGGGAAAAAUUUAUUGCUAUUAGAUGAGCCUAUAUUAGAUUAGCUAGUUGGUGGAGUAAUAGCCUACCAAGGCAAUGAUCUAUAGCUGAUCUGAGAGGAUGAUCAGCCACACUGGAACUGAGAUACGGUCCAGACUCCUACGGGAGGCAGCAGUGGGGAAUAUUGGACAAUGGGCGAAAGCCUGAUCCAGCCAUGCCGCAUGAGUGAAGAAGGCCUUUGGGUUGUAAAGCUCUUUUAGUGAGGAAGAUAAUGACGGUACUCACAGAAGAAGUCCUGGCUAACUCCGUGCCAGCAGCCGCGGUAAUACGGAGAGGGCUAGCGUUAUUCGGAAUUAUUGGGCGUAAAGGGCGCGUAGGCUGGUUAAUAAGUUAAAAGUGAAAUCCCGAGGCUUAACCUUGGAAUUGCUUUUAAAACUAUUAACCUAGAGAUUGAAAGAGGAUAGAGGAAUUCC